AAAAACUCAAUUUUCUAAGUAUCUCAUUUUGUCAAAACAGACACCAACAAAUAAAAACUUUCCUUUUAAAUGUGAAAUCAAGCCAAGCAAAACAAAUAAAGUGGUGUAGUAAAAGGAUGAAGAACAUAACAACAAAUAUUAGAGUGACGUAGAUAUGUGGUAUGCUGCAAAGAAGAAUGUGGUGGUAGUGCACGGUUGACGGUGGUUGACGGCAGUUAAUGGGAUAGUUGAAAUGACGGUGAUGGCCUCUAUUUAUUGUUUUCUAUUUUUUCUUUUAAUUUUGAAAUAUAUGAUUUUGAGGAUGGAGUUGUGUUGUUGUUUCUUCUUUUCUCAACUUUGUUUUUGUUUAAGAAUCUGUCUUUUAAAAAAAUUCUCUUUUUUCUUUUCUUCCCUUUUUUUUUCUCUGUUGAUUUUAG
rnacentral:lncRNA from 1 species